GGGAUGAACGCUGGCGGUAUGCUUUACACAUGCAAGUCGUACGAGAGUUUUUAACUCAAGUGGCGGACGGGUGAGUAACACGUAAGAAUUUGCCUUUAGGAGGGGGAUAACAACUGGAAACGGUUGCUAAUACCCCAUAUGCUUUCGAGUAAAAUGGAUUUAUCCGCCUAAAGAGAAGCUUGCGGCUGAUUAGCUUGUUGGUGAGGUAAUGGCUUACCAAGGCGACGAUCAGUAUCUGGCUUGAGAGGACGAUCAGACACACUGGAACUGAGACACGGUCCAGACUCCUACGGGAGGCAGCAGUGGGGAAUUUUCCGCAAUGGGCGAAAGCCUGACGGAGCAAUACCGCGUGAGGGAUGACGGCCUAUGGGUUGUAACCUCUUUUUUCAGGGAGAAGUCAAUGACGUGUACCUGAAGAAUAAGCAUCGGCUAACCCGUGCCAGCAGCCGC
rnacentral:rRNA from 1 species